CCCUUCGAAAGCCCCUUCAGGAUAGCUGGCACUCGUUUGCAUGAUCUGCUUUAUCAGGUAAAGCGAAUGAUUAGAAGUACCGGCGUUCGAAACGAGCCCAAUCUUUUCUCAAACUUUAAAUGGGGUGAGAUGCCCGGCUCGCUUUAUAGGAGUCGGGCACUGAAUGUGCAAGUGCCAAGUGGGACAUUUUUGGCAAGCAGAACUGGCGCUGUGGCAUGAACUAAACACAGGCCAUUUUUGCAAUCGCCCAGCCCACCUCCCCUUCGGAAUUGUAACUGCCGAAAAAGGCGGUAAACUGCUUUUUUACUAGGAGGG
rnacentral:ncRNA from 1 species